rnacentral:tRNA from 1 species
GCCCGGAUAGCUCAGCUGUAGAGCAUCAGACUUAAAAUCUGAGGGUCCAGGGUUCAAGUCCCUGUUCGGGCGCCA